UACGAAGGGGGCUAGCGUUGCUCGGAAUUACUGGGCGUAAAGGGAGCGUAGGCGGAUCGUUAAGUUGGGGGUGAAAGCCCGGGGCUCAACCUCGGAACUGCCUUCAAUACUGGCGAUCUUGAGUAUGGGAGAGGUGUGUGGAACUCCGAGUGUAGAGGUGAAAAUUCGUAGAUAUUCGGAAAGAACACCAGUGGCGAAGGCGACACACUGGCCCAUUACUGACGCUGAGGCUCGAAAAGCGUGGGGGAGCAAACAGGGA
rnacentral:rRNA from 1 species